rnacentral:ncRNA from 1 species
CACAGCCUUGGUCCUGACCUUACUAUUAGUUCUCAGCAAACUUACACAUGCAAGCGUCCACGCCCCAGUGAGAAUGCCCUCUAGGUCCACCAGACCAAAAGGAGCAGGUAUCAAGCUCACAAAUCCUAUGUAGCUCAUAACACCUUGCUCAACCACGCCCCCACGGGAAACAGCAGUGAUAGAAAUUAAACAAUAAACGAAAGUUUGACUUAGUUAUGCUGAUACAAGGGUUGGUAAAUUUCGUGCCAGCCACCGCGGUCAUACGAUUAACCCAAAUUAACAUCUAACGGCGUAAAACGUGUUUAAGACAACAAAACAAUAAAGUUAAACCAAAACUGAGCCGUAAAAAGCUGUAGUCCAAAUAAAAUAAACAACGAAAGUGACUUUAACGUCCUGAACACACGAUAGCUGAGGCCCAAACUGGGAUUAGAUACCCCACUAUGCUCAGCCCUAAACCUAGACAUUCAACAAACCAAAAUGUUCGCCAGGGUACUACUAGCAACAGCCUAAAACCCAAAGGACUUGGCGGUACUUCACACCCCCCUAGAGGAACCUGUCCUAUAAUCGACAAACCCCGAUAGACCCUACCACCCCUUGCCAAUACAGCCUAUAUACCGCCAUCCCCAGCAAACCUUGGAGAGUGUUACAGUAAGCACAACUAUGAUUCGUAAAUACGUUAGGUCAAGGUGUAGCCAAUGAGGUGGAAAGAGAUGGGUUACAUUUUCUUAAAAAGAAAAUACACGAAAGUUUAUAUGAAACCAUAAAAACUGAAGGAGGAUUUAGAAGUAACUUAAGAAUAGAGAGCUUAACUGAACUAGGCCAUGAAGUACGCACACACCGCCCGUCACCCUCCUCAACUCGCCCACAACCAGCAAACAUAUUACCCACACAACCGGCACUUUCAGAGGAGACAAGUCGUAACAAGGUAAGCAUACUGGAAAGUGUGCUUGGAAUAAU